rnacentral:lncRNA from 1 species
CCGUAGAGUCUGGUUUGUUAAAAUUCCAAUAUAAAACUAAUUUAUAUUUGACAUUAAUGAGUUAAGAAAUGUUUUAUACAGUACAUCAGGGCUGAAAGAGAACUUUACAGCAUUCUAGUAAAAGCAAAUUGCUUCUGAGUAUGACUAUUAUAUAAAAAACAAAAAAUCUUACACUAACCUAAGCUACUUGUCCUUUCAAAAUCCUGUGAUUUUUAAUGUUUAUGUUAAGAAAGGAUUGAAAAAUUAACAAAGCUAAUUUUUUUCCCUCACUUACAUUCUAUUGGUGGGUUGUAAUUUAACAACUUGGAAGAGAUUUUUUUCCUCAGCUUGGAUGUCUGUACCAGAAAGAAGUGACUAUGGAGAGCUGUCUGGUAUUCUGGAUGAAGAAGAAUGAAAAUAACACUGAACAAAGUGCUCUUCUGGAGAACCAACCUGAAGGCAAGAUCCAGUUCUGGGAAAGAAGAACGCUGAUUGGAACAGGAAUAGAGGAAAGAAACAAGGAUAAUCAGGGAAGGAGGAGAGACACUGCAAGAGAUUGGAAUGUUCAGUCUAAAAGAAUGAAAGCUAAACACAGAACAUCAGAAUUUUUAAACAGCAGGCAAUUGGGUGUCAACUUUCUCAACUGUUCCUGAACAAAUUUUUGUCUGGAAAUAGUAAGAUGAUUUCUGCCUAUCACAGAUUCUGAAACAUACUUUUGAUGAGAGAAGGAACUAAGUUCCCAAUCAAUUAAGAUACCAGUAGAUGAACAGGAUGACACAUCAUGUGCUUUUGUGAUA